rnacentral:lncRNA from 1 species
CUAGCGUCUGCAAAGGCAAUCCUUACAAUGACGACCGUGAAAUUUGCGCUCGUCCUAAUGCUGGUAGUCUCACUCAUGGUGAUGAAUAUUUCAAGUACUGAGGCAAAGUGUGAGGAAAACACCGGCAAGUGUAAAGUGGGAAGUCCGUGCAACAUACGUGACCCACCGGACACCUGCGGCUCAGGCUGUAGAUGUGUCGCAACCGUACGCGACGGCUCCGGCAGGGGAUUGUGCGUCAGGAAGUAGAAGGCAUGACUUUGAUUAGGAAAGAUGCCAUA